rnacentral:ncRNA from 2 species
UUGAAGCCAACUGGAGAGAGGUUGCGAUGCAACCCACCGAAGGGGCAAGCAGCUCUGCUGCGUAAACUCUCAGGUAAAGCGGACAGAGGGAGUGGC